rnacentral:rRNA from 1 species
GAUGAACGCUAGCGGCAGGCUUAACACAUGCAAGUCGAGGGGUAUAGUUCUUCGGAAUUAGAGACCGGCGCACGGGUGCGUAACGCGUAUGCAAUCUACCUUUCACAGAGGGAUAGCCCCAGAGAAAUUUGGAUUAAUACCUCAUAGUAUAGCAGUUUCGCAUGAAACCACUAUUAAAGUCACAACGGUGAAAGAUGAGCAUGCGUCCCAUUAGCUAGUUGGUAAGGUAACGGCUUACCAAGGCAACGAUGGGUAGGGGUCCUGAGAGGGAGAUCCCCCACACUGGUACUGAGACACGGACCAGACUCCUACGGGAGGCAGCAGUGAGGAAUAUUGGACAAUGGGCGCAAGCCUGAUCCAGCCAUGCCGCGUGCAGGAUGACGGUCCUAUGGAUUGUAAACUGCUUUUAUACAGGAAGAAACACUACUUCGUGAAGUAGCUUGACGGUACUGUAAGAAUAAGGAUCGGCUAACUCCGUGCCAGCAGCCG